GAGUUUGAUCCUGGCUCAGAUUGAACGCUGGCGGCAGGCCUAACACAUGCAAGUCGAGCGGAUGAAGGGAGCUUGCUCCUGGAUUCAGCGGUGGACGGGUGAGUAAUGCCUAGGAAUCUGCCUGGUAGUGGGGAUAACGUCCGGAAACGGGCGCUAAUACCGCAUACGUCCUGAGGGAGAAAGUGGGGGAUCUUCGGACCUCACGCUAUCAGAUGAGCCUAGGUCGGAUUAGCUAGUUGGUGGGGUAAAGGCCUACCAAGGCGACGAUCCGUAACUGGUCUGAGAGGAUGAUCAGUCACACUGGAACUGAGACACGGUCCAGACUCCUACGGGAGGCAGCAGUGGGGAAUAUUGGACAAUGGGCGAAAGCCUGAUCCAGCCAUGCCGCGUGUGUGAAGAAGGUCUUCGGAUUGUAAAGCACUUUAAGUUGGGAGGAAGGGCGAGUAAGUUAAUUACCUUGUCUGUUUUGUACGUUACCAACAGAAUAAG
rnacentral:rRNA from 1 species